UGGGAGGGACGGCCUUCCCCCUCAUCAGCACAUCAGCCGCGGGGACGACCCUG
rnacentral:ncRNA from 1 species